rnacentral:rRNA from 1 species
CCGGCGCACGGGUGAGUAACACGUAUCCAACCUGCCGUCUACUCUUGGCCAGCCUUCUGAAAGGAAGAUUAAUCCAGGAUGGGAUCAUGAGUUCACAUGUCCGCAUGAUUAAAGGUAUUUUCCGGUAGACGAUGGGGAUGCGUUCCAUUAGAUAGUAGGCGGGGUAACGGCCCACCUAGUCAACGAUGGAUAGGGGUUCUGAGAGGAAGGUCCCCCACAUUGGAACUGAGACACGGCCCAA